UCCCAAGUGGUCCAAAGGUUAAGAUUCUGCACUUCCACUGCAGGGAGUGCAGGUUCGAACCCUGGUCAGGGAA
rnacentral:tRNA from 1 species